AUGACACUUGUGUUAUCGAGAUAACUUCGCAGUUAUUUUAGCGAUCAAAUUUUUGGCGCUGUUGCCGGGGACUCUCUCUCGUUCCUUUGAAAGGAUUUAGUCGGUGCCGAUUUAGACAUUCAACUCCAUGUAUAGUUUUCUUUUAUUUUUAUUUUUUCUCUCGCUUGAUUUACUUGGGUUGUUAGUGUUUGAGUUCAUAUGCAAGGUUAUAGUUGGAAUGGAGAGUGGCAAGGUCCCUAUGGUGCAAGUAAUGAAGAUGAAGGUUGGAGCUCAUAUCCUAACCAACACCAAAAUUAUGAGCAUCAAGGUCCACCAAACUACUACCAAAC
rnacentral:lncRNA from 1 species